AACAGAAAGAUAGGGUCAGGCCCUAGAGCUGACCACCUCUAUUCUCAAAGCCACUACCCCUUCAGGAAGGCCUCUACAGCUGCUGCACUCACCCUCUGAGCUACUACGGCCUACGGGAUGACUCUCCAUCUCCCAGUACCACAAAAACUCCACUUCAUCACGAGGCCAGAGAGCCUUCAAAAGGGGGGCAUCUUACUUGUGAUUUCGAUUUUGGACCGCCUGCUGCUGGACCUGCUGGAUCUGUUGAGGUGCAGGUCUCUUGCGGGAUUGGUCCAUC
rnacentral:sRNA from 1 species